rnacentral:rRNA from 1 species
GAUGAACGCUGGCGGCGUGCCUAAUACAUGCAAGUCGAGCGAACAGACGAGGAGCUUGCUCCUCUGAUGUUAGCGGCGGACGGGUGAGUAACACGUGGAUAACCUACCUAUAAGACUGGGAUAACUUCGGGAAACCGGAGCUAAUACCGGAUAACAUGUUGAACCGCAUGGUUCAACAGUGAAAGACGGUCUUGCUGUCACUUAUAGAUGGAUCCGCGCCGCAUUAGCCAGUUGGUAAGGUAACGGCUUACCAAGGCAACGAUGCGUAGCCGACCUGAGAGGGUGAUCGGCCACACUGGAACUGAGACACGGUCCAGACUCCUACGGGAGGCAGCAGUAGGGAAUCUUCCGCAAUGGGCGAAAGCCUGACGGAGCAACGCCGCGUGAGUGAAGAAGGUCUUCGGAUCGUAAAACUCUGUUAUUAGGGAAGAACAAAUGUGUAAGUAACUAUGCACGUCUUGACGGUACCUAAUCAGAAAGCCACGGCUAACUACGUG